UACGGAGGGUGCGAGCGUUGUCCGGAAUCACUGGGCGUAAAGGGCGCGUAGGCGGCGCGGGCAGUCAACGGUGAAAGUUCGGGGCUCAACCCUGAAUCGGCCGUCGAUACUCCCGGGCUUGAGCACUGUAGAGGCAGAUGGAAUUCCGGGUGUAGCGGUGGAAUGCGUAGAGAUCCGGAAGAACACCGGUGGCGAAGGCGGUCUGCUGGGCAGUAGCUGACACUGAGGCGCGACAGCGUGGGGAGCAAACAGG
rnacentral:rRNA from 1 species